rnacentral:rRNA from 1 species
ACGAUGAUGCAUAGCCCGAGUUGAGAGACUGAUCGGGCCACAUUGGGGACUGAGACACGGGGCCCAAACUCCUACGGGGGGAGGGGCAGCAGGUAGGGGGAAUCUUCCACAAUGGACGCAAGUCUGAUGGAGCAACGCCGCGUGAGUGAAGUAAGGUUUUCGGAUCGUAAAGCUCUGUUGUUGGUGAAGAAGGAUAGAGGUAGUAACUGGCCUUUAUUUGACGGUAAUCAACCAGAAAGUCACGGCUAACUACGUGCCAGCAGCCGCGGUAAAU